rnacentral:sRNA from 6 species
UUGCGCAAGCGAUGUUUAAUCGAGCAAUCUUCGCAAUCAUUGGUCGCCGCCCAGAGCCUAUUCUUAUCACCAAGAUCACUGCUCGGACAGACAGUCCAAUGCAGCCCGCCCAAGCAGGCCGGCUGCGGUCGCGGCACCCACCGGUGCCUGGUAGCCAGACAGGCCACCCAUGACCCCCGAGCUGCACACUGUCCAGAAGACGGCGUGAGGUGAGCCGACGUCAUAAGCGUCGAGCACGGACGAAAUUCUCAAGGGGAGGCCGACGGGUCUCCCU